GAUGAACGCUAGCGGCAGGCUUAAUACAUGCAAGUCGUGGGGCAGCAGGUUUGUAGCAAUACAGAUGCUGGCGACCGGCAAACGGGUGCGGAACACGUACAGAACCUUCCUUUGAGCGGGGAAUAGCCCAGAGAAAUUUGGAUUAAUACCCCAUAGUAUAAUGAAGUGGCAUCACUUUAUUAUUAAAGAUUUAUCACUCGAAGAUGGCUGUGCGGCUGAUUAGGUAGUUGGCGGGGUAAAGGCCCACCAAGCCUGCGAUCAGUAACUGGUGUGAGAGCACGACCAGUCACACGGGCACUGAGACACGGGCCCGACUCCUACGGGAGGCAGCAGUAAGGAAUAUUGGUCAAUGGAGGCAACUCUGAACCAGCCAUGCCGCGUGGAGGAUGAAGGUCCUCUGGAUUGUAAACUUCUUUUAUAUAGGGACGAAAAAAGGCUUUUCUAAGUCGUCUGACGGUACCAUAUGAAUAAGCACCGGCUAACUCCGUGCCAGCAGCCGCGGUAA
rnacentral:rRNA from 1 species